AAGACCAUAAGGCUUUGCCUUGCGAUGAGCUUCUGGUGGGUUCUCUCUGGAGAAAUAGCCAGUUGCUUCAAACUUAUUGGCGUCUGAAGUUAGCCCAAGCACAGCAAAAUGUGUUUCGAGUCUUGCGAAGGAUUGCCGGUACCCAAAAUUAUAUAUU
rnacentral:misc_RNA from 1 species